rnacentral:rRNA from 1 species
GAUGAACGCUGGCGGCGUGCCUAAUACAUGCAAGUCGAGCGAACAGACGAGGAGCUUGCUCCUCUGACGUUAGCGGCGGACGGGUGAGUAACACGUGGAUAACCUACCUAUAAGACUGGGAUAACUUCGGGAAACCGGAGCUAAUACCGGAUAAUAUAUUUAACCGCAUGGUUCAAUAGUGAAAGACGGUUUUGCUGUCACUUAUAGAUUGAUCCGCGCCGCAUUAGCUAGUUGGUAAGGUAACGGCUUACCAAGGCAACGAUGCGUAGCCGACCUGAGAGGGUGAUCGGCCACACUGGAACUGAGACACGGUCCAGACUCCUACGGGAGGCAGCAGUAGGGAAUCUUCCGCAAUGGGCGAAAUCCUGACGGAGCAACGCCGCGUGAGUGAUGAAGGUCUUCGGAUCGUAAAACUCUGUUAUUAGGGAAGAAGAAAUGUGUAAGUAACUAUGCACGUCUUGACGGUACCUAAUCAGAAAGCCACGGCUAACUACGUG